rnacentral:misc_RNA from 1 species
GAUGAAGAACGUAGCGAAAUGCGAUACUUGGUGUGAAUUGCAGAAUCCCGUGAACCACCGAGUCUUUGAACGCAAGUUGCGCCCGAAGCCAUUAGGCCGAGGGCACGCCUGCCUGGGCGUCACACGUCGUUGCCCCCCCAUCUACUCCUUCGGGAUUGCGGGGGGCGGAUGAUGGCCUCCCGUGCGCCUCGUCGCGCGGUUGGCAUAAAUGCCAAGUCCUCGGCGACGCACGCCACGACAAUCGGUGGUUGCGAAACCUCGGUUGCCCGUCGUGUGCGGUCGUCGCGCAUCGAGGGCUCGAAAAAAUUGCCGGGCUCCGGCUCGGCUUUCAACGCGACCCCAGGUCAGGCGGGGUUACCCGCUGAAUUUAAGCAUAUCAAUAAGCGGAGGA